rnacentral:rRNA from 1 species
CAGCAGCCGCGGUAAUGCGAAGGGGGCUAGCGUUGUUCGGAUUUACUGGGCGUAAAGCGUACGUAGGCGGUUUUGUAAGUUAGAGGUGAAAGCCCGGAGCUCAACUCCGGAAUUGCCUUUAAGACUGCAUCACUUGAAUCGUGGAGAGGUGAGUGGAAUUCCGAGUGUAGAGGUGAAAUUCGUAGAUAUUCGGAAGAACACCAGUGGCGAAGGCGGCUCACUGGACACGUAUUGACGCUGAGGUACGAAAGCGUGGGGAGCAAACAGGAUUAGAUACCCCUGUAGUCCCUGUCUCUUAUAC